rnacentral:rRNA from 1 species
GAGGAAUAUUGGACAAUGGACGAGAGUCUGAUCCAGCCAUGCCGCGUGCAGGAAGAAGGUUCUAUGGACUGUAAACUGCUUUUAUAUGUUAGCAAUAAGGGUCUCGAGCAGGCCCGAUGAUCUUAGCGUAUGAAUAAGCAUCGGCUAACUCCGUGCCAGCAGCCGCGGUAAUACGGGGGAUGCGAGCGUUAUCCGGAUUUAUUGGGUUUAAAGGGUGCGUAGGCUGCUUAGUAAGUCAGGUGUGAAAGUUUUCGGCUCAACCGGGAGAUUGCCUUUGAUACUGCUUGGCUAGGAUUUGACUGCUGUGAGUAGAAUGUGUGGUGUAGCGGUGAAAUGCAUAGAUAUCACACAGAAUACCGAUUGCGAAGGCCGCUCACAAAGUCACUAUCGACGCUGAUUCACGAAAGUGUGGGGAUCAAAC